AACGUAGGAUCCGAGCGUUUUCCGGAAUCACUGGGUGUAAAGGGUGCGUAGGCGGGCUUGCGCGUCAAGGGUUAAAGACCUCGGCUCAACCGAGGGAAUGCCCUUGAUACGGCAGGUCUUGAGUGCGGGAGAGGAUGGUGGAAUUCCUGGUGUAGGGGGGAAAUGCGUAGAGAUCAGGAGGAACCCCGAAGGCGAAGGCAGCCAUCUGGACCGCCACUGACGCUGAGGCACGAAAGCGUGGGGAGCAAACAGG
rnacentral:rRNA from 1 species